CAAGAGCGUAUAUUAAAGUUGUUGCAGUUAAAAAGCUCGUAGUUGGAUUUCUGGUACAACGCGCCUGGCCCGCUUUUGUGAGUGCCGGUGCGCGUUUGCCAUCCUUCUAGAAAACGUUUCUACCCGGGUAACUGGGCUGGACUCGCGAUCUAGAUCUUUUUACUUUGAAAAAUUAGAGUGUUUAAAGCAGGCUUUUGCUGUGAAUACAUUAGCAUGGAAUAAUGGAAAAGGACUUCAACCUCUUCUGUUGGUCUGAGAGGCUGUAGUAAUGAUUAAUAGGGAUAGUUGGGGGCAUUAGUACUUAACUGUCAGAGGUGAAAUUCUCCGAUUUGUUAAAGACUAACUUAUGCGAAAGCAUUUGCCAAGGAUGUUUUUCAUUAAUCAAGAACGAAAGUUAGGGGAUCAAAGAUGAUUAGAUACCA
rnacentral:rRNA from 1 species